GACGAACGCUGGCGGCGUGCUUAACACAUGCAAGUCGAACGGAAAGGCCCUGCUUGCAGGGUGCUCGAGUGGCGAACGGGUGAGUAACACGUGGGUGAUCUGCCCUGCACUUUGGGAUAAGCCUGGGAAACUGGGUCUAAUACCGGAUAUUCCUUGCUGGUUGCAUGGCCGGUGGGGGAAAGCUUUUGCGGUGUGGGAUGGGCCCGCGGCCUAUCAGCUUGUUGGUGGGGAUGGCUUACCAAGGCGACGACGGGUAGCCGGCCUGAGAGGGUGUCCGGCCACACUGGGACUGAGAUACGGCCCAGACUCCUACGGGAGGCAGCAGUGGGGAAUAUUGCACAAUGGGCGCAAGCCUGAUGCAGCGACGCCGCGUGGGGAU
rnacentral:rRNA from 1 species